rnacentral:rRNA from 1 species
GCGUGAUACGCGGAGGACAUUACCGAGUUUACAACUCCCAAACCCCUGUGAACAUACCAAUUGUUGCCUCGGCGGAUCAGCCCGCUCCCGGUAAAACGGGACGGCCCGCCAGAGGACCCCUAAACUCUGUUUCUAUAUGUAACUUCUGAGUAAAACCAUAAAUAAAUCAAAACUUUCAACAACGGAUCUCUUGGUUCUGGCAUCGAUGAAGAACGCAGCAAAAUGCGAUAAGUAAUGUGAAUUGCAGAAUUCAGUGAAUCAUCGAAUCUUUGAACGCACAUUGCGCCCGCCAGUAUUCUGGCGGGCAUGCCUGUUCGAGCGUCAUUUCAACCCUCAAGCCCUCGGGUUUGGUGUUGGGGAUCGGCGAGCCCUUGCGGCAAGCCGGCCCCGAAAUCUAGUGGCGGUCUCGCUGCAGCUUCCAUUGCGUAGUAGUAAAACCCUCGCAACUGGUACGCGGCGCGGCCAAGCCGUUAAACCCCCAACUUCUGAAUGUUGACCUCGGAUCAGGUAGGAAUACCCGCUGAACUUAAGCAUUAA